rnacentral:rRNA from 1 species
UGGGGAAUUUUGGACAAUGGGGGCAACCCUGAUCCAGCAAUGCCGCGUGUGUGAAGAAGGCCUUCGGGUUGUAAAGCACUUUUGUCCGGAAAGAAAACCCUUUCGAUAAUACCGGAGGGGGAUGACGGUACCGGAAGAAUAAGCACCGGCUAACUACGUGCCAGCAGCCGCGGUAAUACGUAGGGUGCGAGCGUUAAUCGGAAUUACUGGGCGUAAAGCGUGCGCAGGCGGUGAUGUAAGACCGAUGUGAAAUCCCCGGGCUUAACCUGGGAACUGCAUUGGUGACUGCAAGGCUAGAGUAUGUCAGAGGGGGGUAGAAUUCCACGUGUAGCAGUGAAAUGCGUAGAGAUGUGGAGGAAUACCGAUGGCGAAGGCAGCCCCCUGGGACGUCACUGACGCUCAUGCACGAAAGCGUGGGGAGCAAACAGGAUUAGAUACCCUGGUAGUCCACGCCCUAAACGAUGUCAACUAGUUGUUGGGGAUUCAUUUCUUCAGUAACGUAGCUAACGCGUGAAGUUGACCGCCUGGGGAGUACGGUCGCAAGAUUA